ACACAUGAUGGGAGGUGAUCGGGUAAAUGAGUGAAACCCGGACGCGUGAGGUGGCUGCGGGCUAGCGGCCUGCCACCACGUUCAUUGCGGUGCCGGACCAGCGUGGGUCACUGACACGCAGCCGGCCGAAAUCAACGCAGUCACCCGACCCGCGAGCUCGCCGGCACGUCCGGCCGGCCCCUCCUCCAGAGGGACCGAGUUCGCGGGUCGCCUGCG
rnacentral:sRNA from 1 species